UACAAUUAAAUGUAAGAUGCAUAAAGAAUUUUGAUUUCUUAAGAUUUGGUUUAAUUCCAAAAAUUGUAG
rnacentral:tRNA from 1 species